CAGCAGAUUACAUACACCUCUCAGUCAGUGCCUUUGGAAAGUGGAGAGAUCAAUCCAUCUCUACAGUACCUAUCAGGGAACCAUCUUAAGUCCCAUGUCACUGAUGUAGUUAGUGUGAAAGGGCAUCAUGUUCCUAUAAGGAAGACUUGCUUGUCAUAUAACUAGAAGUUCUAGUCAGGAGUUAAGAGGAAAUGUUACUUCACUGUUUAUCUUUUAGUUAAAGGGUAACUAGAGUAUGCACAACACAGAAUCAGAACAUUGAUUGGGUCUUUAGAUUCUAGCACAUGAUUUUUUAAUAAUUUGUGGAAUGCUUUUUCUUUUUAUCUUUAUGAGAUACUUAGUUGCUACUCUGUCCAUAGCUAUACAAAACUGUUUAUAAAAAAACAUGGACGUGCUUCCAGAACUUUUUGACCUAUAAGCAGGAUUGUUGCUGCUGGCAGAAGGAUUUGGUGUUAUAUUUUCCUAAUGCAAUUGAAAACUGUUACCACUUUUAGGUUGAUUCGACUGUAAAAUGAGAACAUAUACCUUAAUCUUAAAUACUGGUUGCAUUUUGUAGCCUUUCAUAGAAACGGACAUAUUUCUUUAUUCCUGAGGGUAAAGCAUCAAUCUUUUAGGAGAUGACUUAACAGUUAUCAUGUAACAAUUUCUGUUCUAUUUAUGUUUUCCAAAUAAGGGAAAAGCAGCUUACGGUAAUAUGAGGAUCACUGGUCUUACAAUAAUUAAAUAGACUUGUUAUACUGCAUUAAUCCCUUUUGGAACAUUUGGAAUGACUUCUUAGUACUAACCAACAUAGCAUUAGGGCUGACAAUUAAUCUGGUUUUUGUAUUCAACAUUUGUAUGAUAUAAAACAAGUAUAGAGAAACAUAUUUCAGUUUUCAGAUGAGUUUGUAGGAGGACAAAAUGAAAUUUCAUUGAAUUCUCAAGUAACACCAAUAGGGUUCCAAGUACGGAUAAAAUAAGCAAUUCAUUUAGAAUCAGCAUAGGUAGACAAAUUACUUUUGGUAAGUUUUUGUUCUUUGGUGAAUACUAUGUCUGGGCUCUUAGAAUUAUUUUUGCCUUGAGAUUCAUGUUUUAUACAUGAUACACACGAUGUAUGCAAUAUAAAAUAUUCAGACUACUCUUCAUUGAAGAGGUUACUAAUAAUCCCUUGUGAGCUUGUGGUUUCAGGUACCUCUGAUUGAUAAAUCUGUUUGUUAAUCACAGAGAAAACAGAUACAAUUUUUAACUGUAGUCUAAUCUGUUUUUUAGUCCAUAGAACUAGGUUAGGCUAAAGAAGGGCUCUGCAUUCAUUGUUCAGAAAGCAUAAUUAUGAGUUUGUUGAAGGGACUUCCAAGUUAGGAUUAUGGUUAUAUCUCCUGUGGUAGAAGUCCCAGGAGGCAUAAUUUCCUCCUCAGUGUGGGCUCUUUUAUUAUUGUUGAAUUUUUCACAUUGAGGAUGUGAAUUCGACCUUGGUGUUCCAGUUACACAAAAAAUAUUUCAUGGAGGAUGAAGUAUGAGUCCAAUGGUAGGACAGAUUGCAUGCGUAUGUGCACAGUAUUAUGGAAAUGCUGAGAUUAUUGUGUGUUUGUAGCCAUUUUAGACCAUGUGCCUGGGCCCAGCUAACACAUUGUCAGGGAAAAACAUGAUGUAGUAACAAUAUUAGAUCAUGCAAAUGAGACUACUGAAUAGUAAUAGUUAUGGGCAAUAUUUUGGAAAACACUGAUUAGUGACAGUUUUAUUACAGCAAAUGUAUGUAUCAAGUCCCCAGAUUUCAUUGUAAUGCACUGAAAACAGAUGUCAAAGUGUCCCAAACAGAAUUUCAUGGUUAAUCUACAUAUUGCAUGGAAAGUACAAACAAACCAUUUAGAAUUCUGUUAUUUAAUCCUUUUAGAAGGAAUGAAAAUAUACAAUUUAGAAUUACUCCUUUCUUUCUUUUAAUUUCAGUUUUUGUUUUCUAGGGGCUGAUGAUAAAUUAUUAUUUUUUUGUUUGUUUUGUUUGUUUUCUUAAGAUGCAUAUGGGAGAAACAUAUCUACAUAUGGACAUGAUUUUAUUUAAUGUACUUUAAACUGUAAGUUUCUUAACAUAAGGUCUUUGCAUUAACAAAAAGAAAAAAUAGUUUCUAAAUUAUUUAGAAAGGUUACUAAAUGGAAUUACUUUGUCCUAUUUCUUUGUUUGAUGACAUAAUGCUUCACUCUGGGCCACACAGCAACUGAAGCAACUUGCUUAAGUAGAAGAGUAAAAGGUUAUUGGUUCUACUUGCAAGUACCUAGGAGAUUUCAGGCAUGUCAAUGACUUGGUUUCCUUAUAGUCAGGUGAAAAAAUUGAUCUAGAGGACAUCUACUGUUCUUAGCUCUGGCAUCCUAGGAAUUUGGCUUCUGAUUAUCUUGGCAAAGGUACAGUCUCCUUCAUGUUAAGCAGAAUUUAAUAAGGUUUAGUGUAUUCUUGUUAAGCUUGGGGUUUUAAUAUAUCCUAUUUAUUAAAGAGAAAUAGAAAAUGUUUAACCUGACUAUUGAGUAACACUUUGAUGUUCCAUUCAAAGUCCAAUAAUCAAAUCAUUUAGCUCAACCUCAAUAAAAAAACUGUUUUUAACUCAUAGCACUUUAGAGAAUUGAGAAUCUUUAGAGAUUCUCUCACUUUACAGUUUGGAAUACUGAGUUGAAGAGAGACCCAAAACCACUUUGGUUGCUUGUGUUAGUUUUACUGCUACAGAGGCAAGCCAUCAGCAUAAAUACUGAAAAGUGUUUUUUUAUGAAAGCAUAGCAGCAGUAUUUUUUAAAGGAACACGGAAAAACCUUCAUGAAGAUGUAUUAUCAUUUGUAAAUUAUUGAAGUAAAUUCCUUCAGUUGUGUUUUCUGUGUAGUGCCUUUUCAUAGGAAGUGUUCUAAUGAAGUCAGUCUGCAGCCAUGGUCUUCCGGAGAAUGAUUGCCUUACUUUUUAUCAGUGGUUUGAGAACACAUCCUUGAAGUUAUAGUGGACUAACUUCAUGGAUUUGGUACUAAUUGGAAAACAGGAAGGACUCAUUAAAAAUGUAUUGUCAGUUUUCAGUAACACAAACGAUCAUAUUUGAGCCAGAGUCCAAGUGGCUCAUGGCUACAAUUCUAGCCAGAAGGCUGAGCUCUGGAGUAUUUUGGGUUCAGAACCAGCCCAGGCACAACAAGUCUGUGUGACUAUCUCCAAAUUAAACCAUCAAAAAGCUGUGCUGGAAGUGUUACUCAUGUGGUCAAACACCAGCUGAGAUAGCAAGUUGAACAACUUGUUCUAGUUGAA